rnacentral:rRNA from 1 species
CAGCAGCCGCGGGAAUACGAAGGGUGCAAGCGUUAACCGGAAUUACUGGGCGUAAAGCGUGCGUAGGCGGUUUGUUAAGUCUGCUGUGAAAUCCCCGGGCUCAACCUGGGAAUGGCAGUGGAUACUGGCAAGCUAGAGUGUGUCAGAGGAUGGUGGAAUUCCCGGUGUAGCGGUGAAAUGCGUAGAGAUCGGGAGGAACAUCAGUGGCGAAGGCGACUCUCUGGUCUGUAACUGACGCUGAGGAGCGAAAGCGUGGGGAGCAAACAGGAUUAGAUACCCCGGUAGUCCCUGUCUCUUAUAA